rnacentral:rRNA from 1 species
CCUACGUGAGGCAGCAGUGGGGAAUAUUGCGCAAUGGGCGAAAGCCUGACGCAGCGACGCCGCGUGAGGGAUGAAGGUCUUCGGAUCGUAAACCUCUGUCAGCAGGGAAGAACGGUCACUGUGCUAAUCAGCAGUGAAUUGACGGUACCUGCAAAGGAAGCACCGGCUAACUCCGUGCCAGCAGCCGCGGUAAUACGGAGGGUGCGAGCGUUAAUCGGAAUUACUGGGCGUAAAGCGCUCGUAGGCGGUAUGUCAAGUCAAGGGUGAAAUCCCCGCGCUCAACGUGGGAACUGCCUUUGAAACGGGCAAACUGGAGUGUGUGAGAGGAUAGUGGAAUUCCAGGGGUAGGAGUGAAAUCCGUAGAUAUCUGGAGGAACAUCAGUGGCGAAGGCGACUAUCUGGCACAUAACUGACGCUGAGGAGCGAAAGCGUGGGUAGCAAACAGGAUUAGAUACCCUAGUAGUC